UUUCAGAUAAAUUUUAUCUUUCGUUAGAUAAAUGUGAUGCAAUGUUUUUAUCUUUUUUAAAGAUAAAAUUUAUUCCUGGGGUUUACUGUGAUAUCAACACUUUAGCACUUUCAUUCACUUUUCAUCUACAUUCGAUUCACACAAGAAAUAUUCUGAUGGCGUCGAAGGCCUGAUGGGAGCCGGUACUUGAUGUAUUUUGGCGCACGUGAAUCUGCGCAACUAUGCGCAACCAAUCAGAAAUGUUUGAGAUACACACAGUGGUUGUGGGAUAUCCACGUAUUGGGUUGCGGCAACGACAAGCAUUUAGCUGCAACAUUGUGUUUGUGAUAACCAUAUCAUAAGUUAACCCAAUUAGACGCAAAAGAAGCGGCUUGAAUUACAUGUGGAUGGGCUAAAAAUAGCUUGGUUGUGGGAGCUACAAGACUGGAACUACAAGCGUGUCGUUUUGGCAACUAGGUCAUUUUGAUCUAACAACUUAAAUAAAAGACGUCUCAACAAAACUAGUGGCCAUUGCAACCAUAUUGAAUGCAACUUGAUAAUUUUAGUUACUGUACCCAUAGCAGUUUCCUCCGUGAAGGGCUUCGCUGCUCUGACCUUCUUUCAAAUGUACCGUACACUGAAAAUUUUUUGAGCAAGCAGCAGUCUUCGUAGUGGUAACGCAGCGCCACCACGACGUUUGGUGGAGCGGCCAGAUCACAUUUAAGUAAGCUAUAGUACCAAACGUGCGAGCAGAUCCUUUCCCGUGUGUUGAGAACGCAGCAGUCCCACAAAAGAGAAUGAAAUGGCCCCACGAGUAUAAACUAUAUGUAUAACUCCGCACGAAACUCGGCGUGAGGUUUCCUUGCUCCCGCCUAAAGGGAGCGUUACUGUACCAAUACUGUUGGGACUACAGCUGUUCCAAUGUGGGAUCACAGCGUUCCCAAUAUGAGAAAGGAUAUGUACCAAGUUGCAGGCGAGCAGCGCGUGACGCAUUUGGUGUUCCAGCUCCACCGCGUAGGCGAGUAGCUCGCCCAAAAAAUUUUCAGUGUAGGAAGUGAUAGAAUUAAUGGUUCCACGAUUACCUGUUUCCUGUCAAUCUAGGCAAGUCUAUGCUCUCUUUUUCCAACCAAAGGGUCGAUGCUUUCGGAUUCUCGUUCUUUAUCUAUGUAUGUACGUAUCAUGCGUCUAAAUUUCUCGGUGUUUGUUCGAGUAGAGCAAUAUUAAAUGGCGUGUCAAUUUUGAAGCAUUAAGAACCAUUUGAAGAAAUAUUCAGAUAUUUGCUAUACAGUCGGCGUAGCUUUCUAACAAUUUCCUUAUUGUUUUUAAAAGAAUACCUUGUGCAAUAACAAUAUUUAAUGUAAGUGCAAAUGCAUAUACGAAACUAAAGUGCUUGAUUUAAUUUUACAAUAAAAUCCUCAUUAAAAUGAAUGCACUUGGAUUUUAAAUUUAGUCUUAAAUAUAUAAUCAACAAAAAUCUACAAAAACUAAAAAAAAACCAGUAUAUUCUGAUUUGAGAUAAAUGCGUAGUAAAAAGAAUCAGUGCUUAUGAAAUAUAUAAAAAUGGUUGGCAAGGUCAGUUUGUAUCGAGGGGUGGACCACUAUUGAAUUUAAGUGUGCAAAUGUUCUUGUACUUUUUUGAAUUUUAUAAAAUUCUCUUGAAUUCUUUGGAAUUUAAAAUAUUAUGAAUUCUUAUGUAGUCUUUCGAGCAAAUGAAAUAAUUCAAAUGAAACUGAUAUAUUUGGCAAUGUUAUGAUAUUUAAGUAAGAAUAAAUUCAUAGGCCAAUAAUAAUGAUAAAGUUUUUGGUAUCACACUAUCAGAACGAAAGUGACUAAAAAAUACCUGCAUAAAUUUGUGUACCGACUUAUGAUUGUAAAUGAUCUCUAUAACUUUUCACUGAAAAUUCAUGGUAGAAAUGACGCAGAUAUCCAUAGUAGGAAAAUAAGAGUUUGACAAGUGAGCCUCGGAGUCCUAGCUAGACGAAAACACGCGCGCAUAAUCGAGUUUAAAAUCUGCUGAAUUAACUCAAGUUGUAUAACCCUUCGAGUUCUUUUGAAUUCCCUUAAAUUCCCUUGAAUUCCGUUUGAAGCUUUAUAAAUUUAUCUUGAAUUCAGUUGCACAUCAAAAUUGCUAGUGGUUAACGGCUUGGUUGAAAUAAAGUGAAUAAAUCAGCAGAGAAAAACGUUUAAAUGUCCAAUGCUCAUAUAACGCAUUCCAUUUUGAAAGAGAUUUUGUAUUACUUUACAGUAUUAAUACACAAUAUUUUCUUCUUUAAUGCAAAAAUAGGUAUUUAUAAGCAAGGCUAACUUUAAUUUCAAUACGAGGUACCCAGACCUGUCGAGAGACUGAAUUAUCAAGCUGAAUUCUACAUUUUUAAAAUUACAUAUAGGGGACCGUCAUUCCUACCCCGUGGGCCCGGGUCUUCCUCUCGACGGGUCUGGAGGUAACACAUCCUCUCGGAUUUUGUAGGAAUCGGCAUGCAUACUUAAAAAAACAAAGUUGAUGUUCGGCUGAUACGGUAUUACAAGCCACAAUGGUUGACUUUCCCUGCUUUAUUAGCGGUCUAUGCGUCUAUUUUCUGACUUUUUUUCUUUUUCUAAGUACUAGGUAAUGCAUCGAUCGAGGACAUUUGCCAGGGUAAUACUCGGGAGAACGAUCGGCUCGAAUAUUUCGAUCGUUGGCUGACUGCGAGUAGAAUUAGGCAACACAAUUAUUCUGCAUUCGUCUUUACAAAUUAUAAAUGGCGAAAAGAAAUUGUGAAAAGUAUGAGAUUAUUGUCGCACUCACAUGAGCUGAAAGAAAAAAGCGUGUCAAAAUAAAGCUAGAAGUAGCGUCGCGUCGAUGUGGUCUGUCUUCCAACACUUUCAUACUGUUCCGAAUCUAAGGUGACUUUCUUGCAAGACUAAAUACUUUCUUAUUAUAUCAAUAGCAGCAACGUGUGACUCGACCGUAUUCUCCUGGAAUGUAGAACAGAGUCUGCGGAAAACAAUACUGAUUCUAGGAGUUGAAACACAAAGUAUUUCGCACGCGUUUCUACAUUUAAAUAAACAACAGAGUGCCAUAUCAACUUGGAACGAGUUUUCACACUAAUGCCGUGGAUUUUGGGGAUAAAAUUAUUUAUUAUUUCGUGGAUUGUGUAGUUCAAAUAUUAGAGUUUUGAUAUCCUUUUUAGUAAUAUUCAAUAUUAAAGAGGAAUAGUGAAAAAACGUUUGGCUCCUACAGAAGCAACCAGAUAUUUUUGUUUUCCGAAAAAACUUGAUUCAUUUCAAACAGACUUUCAACAAAGAUUCUUUUCUUCUUGAACUAACCAAAACUUUUUGAGCCAAAAAAAAAACAGUUUUCUUGAAAUAACCAAAAAUUGAUCAUACAACGAAUAUAUUUUCUUGAUCUUAUUAUAGCCAUCAAAUUUUUUGUCCCAAAGAAAUAUUUUUUUUAAGUCAAGAGAGCAGGUCUCACAGACACCCAGUUUCCAUUUUGAUAAAAAGACGAGUUGAAAUUUGGAUGAGCAAUAUUCAGACAAGCCAGGCGAGCGAAAAGUGCAAUAAACCACUUUUUUGAAAGUGCGAUGUGGCUUUUAUGUUAGGCGCUUAUUCGGAUUAAAAUAAAUGUAUUCGAAUAGGGUCGUUGCAUAACAAAAUUUCAUUUGCUUUGAAAUUUUAUCUUAAAAUAUAAAAAUAUAUAACCAUUUAGACAAUAAAGAAAGGUAUUUUGUUAAAGCUUCUGUUUUUUUUAUGUCAUUCGAUGCGUUCAAGCACUUUGAUUUUUUUGACAGAGCCGUGGAUGAGAUUAUGCGCUGUGCAUAAGCAUAAGCCAUAGGGAAUAGUAUCAUACACAUUGUUGGCAGCACAUAGACUCAUAUUGAAUGGAGGCGUCGAAAUUUUGUUACUGCUGAGUAGAAGCGCUCGCUAAGAAAUCUGUCAACUAUUUCGAUUAUUUAAAUUUGAGAAUGUGAAGUUGGUUGAUAACCAUACUACAAUCAACCUUAUCUUUUCUUCUCUGAUUGGUAGAAACGAUUUAAGAACUCAAGGUUAUUGUAAUAUUUAAAAUAUCACUAAUUUAUUAGUCGAUUUCAUCCGAAAUUAAGUAUUUAAACCACGUUCGCUAAGGUAAAGAGCAUGUAAUUUAUUAUUGGAAAAUGCCAUUUUGUAAAUCAUACAACGACCCCACUGUAAAAUUUCUAGUUCAAAAACCUUUAUUAUAUAACAGACAUACAUAUUUUACUUCAGGUUAUUGAAAGGUAUCUAUUUUUUGUUUAAAUAUUGCUUUAAGGAUGUUUUGCAAUUUUUAGAAAUGUUGAUAUUUCACGCUAGAAUUGAAUUUCAAAUGUGUCAAAGUUAAAAACAAUUUGAAUUAUAAUGAAGUUUUAAUAAAACAAUCUUCUGUAAAGACACUGUGAGACGCAAGUUUUUUGAAAAGUCCGUAACAAAAAUUUAAAAGUUACAUCUAAUUCUCACAUCAUCAUAAAAAGUCCCCAAAAUGUCGUAAAAUUAUGAUAUGUCAUUCAAAAGCUUUUCCAUUGCAAGAAAGCUCCCAGUACGUUAAUUUUAAAAUUUUGAAGAUGUAUGAGAGAAUCAUCUUUCAGGGCAAAAAAAUGUUCUGAAAACUUUGCAUUUAUCAUCUAAAAAAUGUAGACCUUUAAGAUAAGUGACAUUCUGAGCGCUUGACACUCAGAAACGUCGAAGUAAGAGCCACAAGAGAACAAUAAAAACGUAGAACAAGUAGAUAGGACAAUUGCCAAAUGCUCGAUAGUAUUUGUGUAGAUAGGACCGCGUGUGCAAAUGAAUUGAUGGUCUUACAACAUACAUGUGAGAUUUCUUAAGAUUGAUAAAUGAAAUUUUUCUCACAACUUCGAGGGCACAUUUUGGGUAAAGGCACCAAUUACCAAGUAUAUUACUAUCACUACUGUUCAAAUCAGUGGUCAAGGAUAAAACGCUUUCUGUUUUCACUAGCUUAGCAUGUACAGUUAAUUUUUAUGAUUCCGCAGCUUAAUUGAGCCUAAUUUAAUAACUUUUACCAAACAGAUAACAUAUUAAAGUUUUAGUCUAGAAGAAAUCAACUGUUUCUUUAACAAAUCGUUCUUCCUAGGUGCCUUUAUCCUUCUACUUUAAACUAUCUUCCCGAUAUAUUCUGAUUGUAUAGAAAAUUCGUUGUUUGUAAAUAAUAUUCUAUAAAAUACAAUCCAUCGUUAAAAGUAGAGUCUAUGCUUCUCUAUAAUUAACUGAUGCUCCAAAUUUAGCAUAAAAUAUUGUAUUUAAAUUCAAUUUUCUUGCUUGAGUUUAAUCAUUUUUUAUUUUCAAGUAAACGAAAUAAAUUUCAUAUCAGGGACAAAAAAAAUUUCAUUCUAAAAGAUAAGGUAACAUGUAAGACCAAAAAUUAGAGGUUUAGAAAUUUAGUUUCAGAUUUUCAGUUCAUCGUUGUUGCUUCUGUUAUUUUAAUAUCAUUAUAACAAGUUUAGUUCGCUUCUAGAUCAUUAUUUCCCGAAAGCGUUGUCCUCAGAAUAUCGGAACAGGUUUCACACGAAGUGCAUACACAUAAUGUGGAUGUACCUCGUAAGAAUUAAGUGCAUGAUCUUAAAGUAUUUUUGUAAAUAUUUGUAAUGGACUUCAAAAGUCCCGAAAUAUUACGUCUACCAAUUGUGUUGCGAACGCAAGUAGGACUAAUUUUGGGAAAAGUGCAUGAUACACAAUACCAAACGCGUAAUGAUUCGUGAUAUGAGAAAUGUUUAUAAUUAAAUAAGUCAUUUAUUGAGUAAAUAGUUCCUUAAUAUUGUAGCAGAAUUUGUAUAUUGACGAAAACAAAUAAAUAAAAUAUAUUUAUCUGACUA